UCAUAUCUUCAUCAUAUCCUUUUAUUGCCAUUUGUUCCAUCAUGCCUUCAAAACACUGAUAUGGAUGUACAUAGACAGCUUUUUGGAACUAUGUAGUUCCAAUUAUUCAGCAUCAUUGGGCAUAGGCUGCUUUGUAGUACCAUUGCGUUUAUUUUACUGGGCAUUGCUUUUGUACAACUGCCAGAGAAAAGUGCACUCUUUUCUCAAUUUUGUCAUUAGCAGUGGAUAAUCAAAUAAUUUCAUGCAAUUACUUGUUCGCACAUCUCUAUUUUUGGUACACUUCUCUUUUUGAAACCUAUAUCUACCAGUGCUGCCUGGCGUACUCUUUUAUGCUGCAGCAUGGUUUGAUCUCAUUCAGGUGCAAUUGUUUGGGCUUUCAUUGCAUGGAAAUCUUGUGGUUGAGUGUUGAAGUGGCAAUUUCUGUAGCUGGCGAACACUGCAGCACCAAUCUUUUGAUGACGGUGGUCAGUAAUUCUUGUAUGCGUAAAUGAUCAUAAAACCCCUUGCAGUAAUCGUUCAAGGCUUGAACCUGCUGUUAUCAUGAAGCUAUCAUGGAAAUUGCCUUUGUCGAGCUUCAUGCUUCUUAGGAAGAGUUGAAAGAGAGUCCAGCAUCAGCUAGAAAGCAACAAAAUUUAUUUAUUGAAUCUGUCAUUCUGAAACCCCACAAUAAACUAACAUCAGAAAUUUUUUAAGAUUCUUUAGAAAUCUGACUUACUGGGUUAUAUUUUACCCUGCAACUCAUUGAAUCUGGUUCUUUUUGGUUCUAAUAUAAUAAGUUUAACGUGUUCUUGGGAAGCUUAGUGGUGGGCAUCGUGUCAUUUUCUUUAGCUUCAACCAUGGACCAGCUACCAGUUCUUCAUUCACUGCAUGUCAAUUGCUAUUGUGAUCAUGUUUAUCUUCAGUGAUACGGUUUAAUGUUGCUUUGUUUUUAACUUUUGUGUAUUAAAGUGAAUUUGCAGUGUAAAUUGUUUUACUUCUUUCACAUUAUGGGAUUAGGACUUCAUCUUUUACCUUGAAAUUCAACUGGCACUUUAUCAAUAAUUCAUCUAAUGGUCUGCAGAUGAGGACAUUUAUAAAUAUAACUUCAUGGGAAUGACCAAGCAGCUGUAGAGCUUAAAAUAUUUUUCAUCUAUAGGAUAAUGAUUAUAAGUUUCAUAUAUUUUUUUGUAAUUGGUAGAGUAUGUUUGUAGAUCAUUGUUUUAGUUUGAUAUAAGCAAAAUAUGGUACACAUCUGUUAACUAACAAUUUACUCAUCUCUAUGCAUUCUGCAGACAAUUUGGAUUUUUAUCAAACGCAGUGCUGAAUGGAAGCCUCUGCAAUUUCUAGCUUUCAUUUUUUUCUACCGAAUAUUUGAGAAAUUGAAAUCUUUUGAGCCAGCAGUAUCUCCAACUUUUACCGUGAGUAAUACAAAACUAAUAAUGUAGGACCUGUUAGAGCUUUGAUUUGUUUCUGAUGAGUCAUGUAUCAAUAGACAUUAGGUUGAGAAUGUCCCUGUUAAGGACUUUUGUUUUUCUGUUAUGAGCUGUUGAUUGACACACAUUAGACUGACAGUCACAAGAUUUAAGAAUUUACCAUAUAUGGAUUACUGUCAAGUGGUUAAACAAAUUUGCACCCCCUGAUUUGCCAGUGUAUGCAGUAUAAGUUUAUAAAACAACAGUUAUUUGUUGGUUAGUGCUAAAAACUUUUUAUUUUCUUUUUUAUGCUUCAUUUUUUGCUUAAAGAGUACCACCUAUAAUAUAAAAAGUUUAUGGUUAUACAAUUAAGCUAGUUGCAAUUGAGUUGACCAGAAUAAGUGGCUCUGUGCUGCAGGAGGAUGGUGAGGAUGAAGGUAGGGCAUUACGUAUGGGAAAGCGACUACUUCGUUCUCUUUCACUGGUUUUUGGGUGUAUAGCUGUUUCAUCUUUGGUAUGUGAAUGACAAAUACUUUAGGUGCUUGCUUUUUUUGUAUAUUGAUGCUUAAUUACGUUCCAAGAAAACUAAAUUCACAAUUUCAUUCUCACUGGUUUUCCUUUUUUUUUAGUUUGGUUUUCAUUCAUUUUAUUGGUUUGAUCCACUGAUGGUGUUGCAGGGUUAUACCGGACUACUCAACCUGAUCGAGUUUCUAGGACAUUACAUUCCUGUCUUUCUUUACAAUAACCAGGUAAUUGCUUAAGGGCCUGUUUGGUAUCACUAUUGUCUGUGAUUUAGGUUCUCUAUGAAUCUGUGAAAUACCACAUGAAGAUUGAUAAAUUUUAUUCUGCUAUUUCUUUGCUUUUAUUCACUCUUUGAAAGCAAUAAAUUUUUGCCACCGAAAGAGCUAGACUUUACAAACAAAGUUAGAUAAACAAAGUGGUAUUGUCUUACAUGUUGUGCAGUCUAGUUGAUUUUCUUCUUGGGUUUUUACAAAACAGAAACAGAAAACAAAAAGCAAUAUCAAACAGGGCCUAGAUAUUUCUUUAUAAUAUAUGCUCAUAUAGUUUUACCAGAUCAAAUAUGCAUGAUAUAUACAAGCUACGAGGAUUAGGACUAUCCAUGGAUUGGAUCAGAUCAAGCUCCAAACUCAGACAAGAAUAUGAUUUGAUAUGCAGGAUGCUAACUACUUAAUCAUCAUAACUGGACGGAUAGACAUUGCACAUGUGCAUGCACACACCACUUAUGCAGAUGCGAACAUUUUUAGAAAAGGGAUGAAUGGAUUAGUGCAUGGAAUUCUAGAGGGGUAAAAGAAUUGAUGAUUUCGAUAGUAAGGAGUGGUAGAGGGAAAGUGAUGGAUUGGACUUGAGAAUAUGAAGAUAAUGGGAAGUUUUAUCAUUUUAAGUUUUCCAUAUCUUUUGAUACAACAAUAACAAGUUUAUGCCUAAGCAAGAUAAUUAUUUGUGUCUUCCAAUAUUGGAUAAUAUGUGUAUCCAUUGAUUAUUUGUCCUAAAAAUGGAUGAAAGGAUGGCAAGUAGAGAUCCCAAGGUAAUACUAGGAGAGGCUUAACCACAGAACUUCUUGUCUUGCAGAAAUGCAUGUGUUCACUAGCAUCCGGAAGCGAAGAAUAUUUAAUGUAAGAGACAAAAGUAAGGUGGCAAAAUUCUCAUGGGAAGUUAUACCUUCUGAAAGGUGAAUUUUUGUGAAAGGGAUGUGAAACCUGCAAAUUCUUAGUAGGUAAAAAUUGAUAGUUGGACUAGAUGGUAGUAACUGCAUUGUCGAAGGCUCAAGGCACCAUGGACUCUUGGAGCCUAGGUACAAGGCGCAAUGCAAGGUGGGUGCCUGGAUGAAGUGAGGCACAAAAAUAUUAACAUACAUAUAUAAUAACAAAUAAAUGAAUCCAGACACCUUAAAUAAUGAAUUAUCAAUUUAUAAACAUAAAUACAAAUAGAAGAAGCAAAGACAUGGCAUGUAAAAUAUCGAAAAGUCAAAUAUAAUAAGAUAAUAAGCUACUAUGAAAUAACUAUUAUGGUACCACUACCCAAGUAUGAACUAUCGUACUACAUAAAGAUAUUAAACCACAAGCUAGCGUUCAGAGAUGAAAGGUGAAUUCUCCAAGCUUUAAGUCAAAACAUGAAAGCAAGCAUAUAAAUUCAGUUGUCCAGAAUACAACUAAAAGGAGACCAAGGUAUCUAUCAUGAAAUCUGAUCGGAGACUCUAAGUCAUCAUAGAAGUCCUAUUCCCUAAUGAUCGUUAUCAUGAUUAUUAUCAAGUGUAAUCAUAUACAUCUUAUAUGAUCAUUAAUAUGCAGGACAUUAUGCUUAAUUCUGCUAUAUUCAUGUGCAUUUAGUGCUCAUAUAACUAAACUGCCCUCAUGGUGUUUUGUUUGGCUCAACAGGAGCUGCUUGUUACGACGGCAACAUCCAUCUUGCUCUACACCAUGGCAUCAUAUUACCGAUGAUAACUAUUUUCAGGUGUUCUGCAGGCGUUUAAAACCUAGACAGCAUGUUGUCAAAAUUUAGAGCUAUUCUUAGUCACAUGUCUGUUCUUAUGUAUAGAAAAGGCACCUUCACUAGGUGGCUGCCUGUUUUUGAGUAUAGGGCGUACUCUUUUAUGCUGCAGCAUGGUUUGAUCUCAUUCAGGUGCAAUUGUUUGGGCUUUCAUUGCAUGGAAAUCUUGUGGUUGAGUGUUGAAGUGGCAAUUUCUGUAGCUGGCGAACACUGCAGCACCAAUCUUUUGAUGACGGUGGUCAGUAAUUCUUGUAUGCGUAAAUGAUCAGAAAACCCCUUGCAGUAAUCGUUCAAGGCUUGAACCUGCUGUUAUCAUGAAGCUAUCAUGGAAAUUGCCUUUGUCGAGCUUCAUGCUUCUUAGGAAGAGUUGAAAGAGAGUCCAGCAUCAGCUAGAAAGCAACAAAAUUUAUUUAUUGAAUCUGUCAUUCUGAAACCCCACAAUAAACUAACAUCAGAAAUUUUUUAAGAUUCUUGUCAUUUGCUUCAUGUCAGCCCUUGACUUCUUGUGAAAUUAUGCUUAUAUUUGGGUGAGUCUUUACCUUGAAUGGUUAGAGGCGUUAGAUCAAUCCAUUCCUGAUGCAGAGGAAUGUAAUGUCAGUCCUGUUGGACGAUUAGGCUCGUCAGAAAUAUUGUUUUUGUAAUGUUGGUUGUCUGCAUCAUUUUUAAAUCUAGGUAGAAGGUGAAACAGAAUAGUUAAAAUUUGAUCUGAAUAUAACAUGGGUGAAAGCCGUGUUGAAGGAUUUAGAGAACUUGUGGCAGCGGUGGAGCAGCGGGGUUGUCCAAGAUAGAAGUGAAUUAAACCGGUUUGGUAAUGCAAGAGUUACCUGGUUCUUUUGCAAUGCUUGCUU
rnacentral:lncRNA from 1 species